rnacentral:tRNA from 1 species
ACCUGGCUGGCUCAGUCCGUAGAGCAUGUGGCUCUUGAUCUUGGGGUUGUGAGUUCGAACUCCACGUUGGGUA